rnacentral:lncRNA from 1 species
UAGUAUUGUAGCCUAGUUUUAUAUAUAUAUAUAUAUAUAGAAUUAUGCUCCUAUACUAUCAAUAGUACCAAGCCCUUGGUACUAUUGAGUUUUUGGCCGUUGGAUGAAAGGAUGUGCGGUUAGGAUGAUAAUGAUCCCCUAAGGUUGAGUGGGUGGUUGGUUUAAUAGUAUAAUCUAACGGGUGGAAAUGAUCAUAGGGUAGAUCUAACGGUAAAAAACUCUAUAGUACCAAAGGCUUGGUACUAUCAAUAGUAUAGUAGCCGGACUCUAUAUAUAUAUAUAUAUAUAUACACCUCCAAAUUUUCCAAUAUUUCAUAUAUUCUUGGCAACUCUAGAAACUUGCAAAUAUAGAUCACUACUUUUCCUAUUUAUAGUUUUAUGAGUUAAGCUAGAAUACUCUCAAAAGCACCAAGAGGGUAGUGUUUUUGAGUUUUUAACCAUUUGAUGGAAAGAUGUAGGGUUGAGAUGAUGGUGAUAGGUGGUGGUAGGUGGAAUAGUAUUUGAUCCAAGAAACAUUAGUAAUUAAAAAGUAGAUUCAAGAACUAAAAACUUAGAAGCACCAAAGGGUUGGUGCUUCAAAAGUAUUCUAGCUCAAUUCUAGUUUUAUAAUUAGUUUUGCCUUUAUCAUGAUUACUAAUCAUUUUUAUUUGUAAAUUAAGGUCAUUUAAUCUGCUUGGAUGCCUUAUGCAAUGCCUAUUAUCUCUAAUUUUAUUAGAAUAAUGAAGCAAAUAAGGAUAAAAUAGUCUUUGCAAGUAAAUAUGAUGUGUUUUGACUAAUCUAAUUACAUAUUUACAAAAUUUUAAAAUUUAUCAGAAUAUAUAAUAUUUCGAAGUUUAGAGGGAUAAUGUAAUAUUUAAGUUGAGCUACUAUACUAUAAAUAGUUGAUGAAUAAUAUGUACUAUAAGCUACAAGUAUGGGGAUAAGCAAAAUAGCGUUUGGAUGAAAAUUGGGUUGUUUCUGGAGAAAAAAAAAAUAACGUUUGGAUAGAUAAUAUGGAAUAAGAAAAAUAGUGGGUAGUUAUAUAUAGAAAAUGGAGGUGUUGGUGGAAAUAGUUAUACCAGCUUAUUUUAGGGAUCCGAGAACUAUUAUUUUCGGAUAAAAAAAUUACGUUUGGGUAUAAAAGGAGGAAUAAGGAGUUAUCCCU